rnacentral:rRNA from 1 species
GACGAACGCUGGCGGCAGGCUUAACACAUGCAAGUCGAACGAGAAUCAUCUUCGGGUGAGGACAGUGGCAGACGGGUGAGUAACGCGUGGGAACAUACCUAUCGGUAGGGGACAACAGUUAGAAAUGACUGCUAAUACCUUAUACGCCGUAAUGGGAAAGAUUUAUCGCCGAUAGAUUGGCCCGCGUUGGAUUAGCUAGUUGGUGGGGUAAUGGCCUACCAAGGCGACGAUCUAUAGCUGGUCUGAGAGGAUGAUCAGCCACACUGGGACUGAGACACGGCCCAG